GGAGAGAUGGCCGAGUGGUUGAAGGCGCUCCCCUGCUAAGGGAGUAUGGGGUGAUGAGCCUCAUCGAGGGUUCGAAUCCCUCUCUCUCCGCCA
rnacentral:tRNA from 1 species